GAGAGAGAGAGAAUAUUUUCUUAAAAAGGAAGAGAAUCAUUUUGAAAUAAACUCAGUAUACUCCCUCUCACGUGACGAUGAAAAACAACAUACCUCUCUUCUCUCUUGUUACUAUUCACGCAUCAUCAUCAUAUAUUAGUUUAUAACAAACCAACAACCCUAAAAGAGGUGGGGACCGAGACACCACAAAAGAAACAGCAUAAC
rnacentral:lncRNA from 1 species